UCGCACCCUUCCCAAACGCAGCGCCUCACCAGUUCCCCUUCCCCACGGCAGUGGAUUUCCCCUCCCUCUUCAUCUUCUCCAAUCUCCAUCAAAUCCCACUACGCAAUUACUCUGUCGAUUCAGUUGCUUACGAUCUGGUAUUUCUCUUUGGACCGCAUGCGAAUGCGCCCAUCUUCGCCAUAGAAGAACCGUCAGAUAGCUCUGUCCGUUGAGAAGUGGAGCAGCUCCGUUCCCAUCGGCCGGCAUCUCAGGUAUUUGGUGCCAAUGCCCCUGACCGAGUUCUUCCCCUCCUCAUUUUAUCCAUUCCUUUCAUCCCCAGCACAGCAAGCUGUCCGCGUCCUGCUCGAGAUUUGUUAAUUUACGGCCCUGAAAAAUCAACAUGAAUUUAAGCCUCGCCGUCGAUGUGUGCAUCCUGCUGGUAUUACAUGUACUGGACAGGGCGAAUUUCAAGGCCUCUCCGUCGCCACUGCACCGUCAUGGCCGCAUGCUCGGUGAAUCUGAAACCGUUGCUGUCAAUGUGUGCAUCUUCUGUUGGUACAUGUAUAGGACAGGGUGAAUUUUGAGCCCUCACAGUUGCCACCGCACCAUCAUGGCCGGUUGCUCGACGAAUCUGAACCCUGGUACACGUUCGGGCCUUCAUUCGCUAGCAGCUCCUCUCACUCCUCGAGCAUAGUGAUGUGUUUAUUAAUCCCCAAUCCAUGGACUCUUGCAUCUUGCUUUCUACAUAUUGAAUUUGUUUAUGCACCAGAUUAGAUUCAAGGCGUUUGGAUUGAAUUGUUGGAAGCGGUCAAUAUGUUUCUGUUCACAAUUAAUUGGCACAACAUUGAACUACACACUUGAUUUUAUUUGUUGGAAAAAGCUAUAAGCUACAGGUUGCACUACUGUUGAUCUUCUUUGAAAGUGGUCGAUGGAUGAUCCCUUAGCCAGUCCUGUCCUCCUCUUGAUCUGCCGCCUCCAAUUUCUCUGUUAGGUUUGAUGUACAUUCAGAUAGCUAUAUUUAUGAUCUGACAUCUCCAAUUUCUCAGGUUUGGUGAAUAUUCAGAUAGCCAUAUCUAUGCAGAAUUUUACUCUUUGCUAUGUUGUAUGCAGGCAGGCAAAUGCUACGGAAGCAGCCAAAUUAAAACAUGCAUGUUCUCCACAUUUUCGUCUAAUGGUGUUUAUGUUGGGAUUUCCUUUAUUUAUUGUAUGAAUGCUUAUGGUGAUAUUGGGUUGUUUGUAGAGGCAUCACUUGCAGAUAGUUGAAUGGAAGUAUCAAAUGUUUACUACAUAUUUUAAUGGAUCAUGUCCUAUGGGGCUAUCUAGAGCUAGAUUAUGACAAUACUGCUCCAUGUCGACUUAUUUAGGAUCAAUAUAUCACUACAUACUAAUAGUGACAUUAUGCCCCACCGAGAUUAGACAGGAACUGAUUAUUACGGUGUUUUCCUGUAUUAUGCUCUUUUGGUUUGCUAAAAUGUUAAGCUACUAUAUUUGACUGAUUCUGAUACAUUGUGCAUCCAUCCAUUGUUCCAUGUCCCAGGUUAACAAGAAACAUUGUAUUCCCAUUGGUAUUUAACUAGGAUGUGUGCUCCUGUGGCAUGAUCUGUAAGUAGCCUCUAUCUCUUUCGAUCUAUUUUUGUUAGAGAUCUUGAUGUAUACACACAAUAGGGAGUGCUGAAGUCACUGAAACCCUGGCUACAAAAAGAAGUUGCUGAAAUUUUGCAAUGAUUUGUAUUUUUUUUCAUGUUUCCGGUGGACAGAUUAUAAACAUUGUGUGCUAGCUGGUAAACAAAGUAACCUAACCAAUUUUGAAGUGUAGUGUUACUUGGUGCAGUCUAACUCUUUAACUUUUCUCUAAUACUUUUUCUUACUGAUGUUUACUUCCCAUACAUGUAACAGUGUGGAGGAAUAUGCGAAUUUAUGUUUCUGAGGCAAGCCAUAUACAUAUUUUACUGGCAAUCAUCAUGGCUCGCUUCCUUUCUUUGCCGGAAUUCCAAAAUAAUUCCUCAAUACUUCAGUCUAUGUAAAUGUUCCAUGUAGAUUUAAGCCCGAGGGUCUGAGCCGUAAUAUUCCUCUGCUAUUCUGCAUCUCCAUCUGAUGAACACCCACAACAUGUUGUGUCUAGCAGCAGUAACAGCCGACUGAAGCGUCAGCUUGGCCAGGAGAAGGAGAUGUUAUGAAGCUAAUGCACAUAUCAGUGGAUGUUCAUUUUCCUUCAUUGUUGCAAUCCAUAAUAUUAGUCAGAAGAGGAGCUCUCAAAUGAAACAUAUGAACCAAAGUAAAUGCACAUGUGAGUUAUGAUUGAAAUUUUGCACAAUCAAGACAUGGGUAAUAGCUAGGUGGUGAUGUUUCAGUUGAAGCUUUGAAAGUUGGUCCGCAGAUUAUAUUUUGUACGUCUAUUCUCCAAAUUUUGAAAGAUACUUUAUUUUGCGGGAUAAAUUUUGAAA